rnacentral:rRNA from 1 species
CCUACGGGUGGCAGCAGUGGGGAAUAUUGGACAAUGGGGGGAACCCUGAUCCAGCCAUGCCGCGUGUGUGAAGAAGGCCCUCGGGUUGGAAAGCACUUUCAGUGAGGAAGAACGCCUGGUGGUUAAUACCCAUCAGGAAAGACAUCACUCACAGAAGAAGCACCGGCUAACUCCGUGCCAGCAGCCGCGGUAAUACGGAGGGUGCGAGCGUUAAUCGGAAUUACUGGGCGUAAAGCGCGCGUAGGUGGCUUGAUAAGCCGGUUGUGAAAGCCCCGGGCUCAACCUGGGAACGGCAUCCGGAACUGUCAAGCUAGAGUGCAGGAGAGGAAGGUAGAAUUCCCGGUGUAGCGGUGAAAUGCGUAGAGAUCGGGAGGAAUACCAGUGGCGAAGGCGGCCUUCUGGACUGAAACUGACACUGAAGUGCGAAAGCGUGGGUAGCAAACAGGAUUAGAUACCCGAGUAGUC